rnacentral:rRNA from 1 species
AUUGAACGCUGGCGGCAGGCCUAACACAUGCAAGUCGAGCGGAUGAAGGGAGCUUGCUCCUGGUUUCAGCGGCGGACGGGUGAGUAAUGCCUAUGAAUCUGCCUGCUUGUGGUGUAUAACGUCCUUAAACGGGCGCUAAUACCGCCUACGUCCUGCUGCAGAAAGUUGGGGAUCUUCGGACCUCACGCUCUCUGAUGAGCCUAGGUCGGAUUAGAUAGUUGGUGGGGUAAAGGCCUACUAAGGCGACGAUCCGUACCUGGUCUGAGAGUAUGAUAGGUCACACGGGAACUGAGACACGGUCAAGACUCCUACGGGAGGCAGCAGUGGGGAAUAUGGGGCAAUGGGCGAAAGCAUGAUCCAGCCAUGCCGAGUGUGUGAAGAAGGUCUUCGGAGUGUAAAGAACUUUAAGUUGGGAGGAAGGGAAGUAAGUUAAUACCUUGCGGUUUUGACGGUACCAACAGAAUAAGCACCGGCUAACUACGUG